rnacentral:rRNA from 1 species
CGGCGGACGGGUGAGUAACACGUGGAUAACCUACCUAUAAGACUGGGAUAACUUCGGGAAACCGGAGCUAAUACCGGAUAAUANAUUGAACCGCAUGGUUCAAUGGUGAAAGACGGUUUUGCUGUCACUUAUAGAUGGAUCCGCGCCGCAUUAGCUAGUUGGUAAGGUAACGGCUUACCAAGGCAACGAUGCGUAGCCGACCUGAGAGGGUGAUCGGCCACACUGGAACUGAGACACGGUCCAGACUCCUACGGGAGGCAGCAGGC